rnacentral:rRNA from 1 species
GACGAACGCUGGCGGCGUGCUUAACACAUGCAAGUCGAACGGUAAGGCCCUUCGGGGUACACGAGUGGCGAACGGGUGAGUAACACGUGGGUGAUCUGCCCUGCACUUCGGGAUAAGCCUGGGAAACUGGGUCUAAUACCGGAUAGGACUCCGGACUGCAUGGUCUGGGGUGGAAAGCUUUUGCGGUGUGGGAUGGGCCCGCGGCCUAUCAGCCUGUUGGUGGGGUGAUGGCCUACCAAGGCGACGACGGGUAGCCGGCCGGAGAGGGUGACCGGCCACACUGGGACUGGGAUACGGCCCAGACUCCUACGGGAGGCAGCAGUGGGGAAGAUUGCAAAAUGGGCGCAAGCCUGAUGCAGCGACGCCGCGUGAGGGAUGACGGCCUUCGGGUUGUAAACCUCUUUCAGCAUCGACGAAGCGAAAGUGACGGUAGGUGCAGAAGAAGGACCGGCCAACUACGUGCCAGCCGCCGCAGUAA